CAGCCAUUGUUGGAAUCUUAUGGGUGGAGGUGUUACGUGCCUGCAGGGCCAGACAGGCCUGCAGAGCUUUUCUCCUGUGUUGUUCUGCCCCUCCCCCUUGUCUUGCAGGUGCUUCCAGGAUCCAGAGUUAAUGGAGGUGAUUGGAGUCCACCUGUGCAGACCUUUUGUUUGUUGUGUUUAAAGAAGACAGAUUUAGUUAGGCCUAGUUUUGGUUUGUUAAUUUUGAUUAUUUGGCACAACUAUAUUGUCCCUACCUCCACCACAUUUGUGAACCUUCAGUUGUCCUUUAAUAAACUGUUAAUUUUUGAACUUCA